ACUCAAAUGAAUAGACGGGGGCCCGCACAAGCGGUGGAGCAUGUGGUUUAAUUCGAUGCAACGCGAAGAACCUUACCUACUCUUGAAUCCACGGAAUCUUGCAGAAAUGUGAGAGUGCCUUCGGGAACCGUGAGACAGGUGCUGCAUGGCUGUCGUCAGCUCGUGUCGUGAGAUGUUGGGUUAAGUCCCGUAACGAGCGCAACCCUUGUCCUUAGUUACCAGCGCGUAAUGGCGGGGACUUUAAGGAGACUGCCGGUGAUAAACCGGAGGAAGGUGGGGAUGACGUCAAGUCCUCAUGGCCCUUACGAGUAGGGCUACACACGUGCUACAAUGGCCGGUACAGAGGGUCGCCAACCCGCGAGGGGGAGCAAAUCUCAAAAAGCCGGUCGUAGUCCGGAUUGGAGUCUGCAACUCGACUCCAUGAAGUUGGAAUCGCUAGUAAUCGCGGAUCAGCACGCCGCGGUGAAUACGUUCCCGGGCCUUGUACACACCGCCCGU
rnacentral:rRNA from 1 species